UACGUAGGGGGCUAGCGUUGUCCGGAUUUAUUGGGCGUAAAGAGCGUGUAGGCGGCCAGGUAGGUCUGCUGUGAAAACUCGAGGCUCAACCUCGAGAUGUCGGCGGAAACCAUCAGACUAGAGUCCGGAAGAGGAGAGUGGAAUUCCUGGUGUAGCGGUGAAAUGCGCAGAUAUCAGGAAGAACACCCGUGGCUAAGGCGGCUCUCUAGUACGGUACUGACGCUGAGACGCGAAAGCGUGGGGAGCGAACAGG
rnacentral:rRNA from 1 species